rnacentral:rRNA from 1 species
GACGAACGCUGGCGGCGUGCUUAACACAUGCAAGUCGAACGGAAAGGCCCUGCUUUUGUGGGGUGCUCGAGUGGCGAACGGGUGAGUAACACGUGAGUAACCUGCCCUUGACUUUGGGAUAACUUCAGGAACCUGGGGCUAAUACCGGAUAGGAGCUCCUGCUGCAUGGUGGGGGUUGGAAAGUUUCGGCGGUUGGGGAUGGACUCGCGGCUUAUCAGCUUGUUGGUGGGGUAGUGGCUUACCAAGGAUUUGACGGGUAGCCGGCCUGAGAGGGUGACCGGCCACAUUGGGACUGAGAUACGGCCCAGACUCCUACGGGAGGCAGCAGUGGGGAAUAUUGCACAAUGGGCGGAAGCCUGAUGCAGCAACGCCGCGUGCGGGAUGACGGCCUUCGGGUUGUAAACCGCUUUCGCCUGUGACGAAGCGUGAGUGACGGUAAUGGGUAAAGAAGCACCGGCUAACUACGUG